GCAGACCACAAUGCACCGCUCACGGCGUCGGUUGCCCGGGCAAUGGGCCGCACGCUACGAGGCCCACACACCCAGAAGGUGGAGCCCCGGCCGGGUUACGAGGACCACCCAGCUGUCUGGAGAGAUGAAGAAAAUGAGGUUCAAAGAGAUGAAGUCUCUUGCCUAAAGUCAGUGACAGAAAGUGACAGAGCUGGGAUGUGAAUCCUGGUCUGACUCUACAGUCCCACAUGGUAGAUGGAACCUCCGAGCAACACCUAAACAAAAGGAGUUGAUGCCUCCGAACAGAGUAAUGUCGCUGGAGACACUAAGCAUCGUCGGCCCCUGGCAGGAGCUCCCUAAAUAUGUGUUGGAUGGAUGGAAGAAAGGAUGGAUAGUUCAGAGUACUUCAGCCUUGAUUCCUCCGCAACAGACACCUGAAACUUGACCCUACAUUGGUUCUUGGCCAUCGUGAUCUUCCUUGGACAGAAUCACCUUUCAGCUCCGGUCAUCAGACUUUCCCAGGGCCCUCAGAAAGCCCUUCAGAGUUGUUACUCACAGGCAGGCUGAGGGAUUCCUUACGGGGUCUGCAGCUCUCCUCACCUCAUCCACAAGUAGGACCGUGGCCUGUUCCUCACUACUGCCCCAGGAUCACUCUGUUCCCAGCCCAGUCCAGCAAUCACUUGUCUAGCUUUCUGGAACCUUGAGUACUUUCUUGAACCAUGAGUCCUGUGACCACCCUAGCAGCUCUAACCCUCCCUUAUCUGAAAGGAAGUGUGAGGUGACCUUGCAGGUCCCAGAGUUGAUUGAAGACCCCAUCCAGAAAGAAGGCACCCUGUGGGAGAGAUUGCAAGGCCUAGGUCUGAAUCCGGAAGCUUCCACCCCAUGGAGAAGGGCUGGCACCAGCCUGGGGCUGGCAGUGGAGCUGAGCUUUGGAGCCAAGGACUGUACUGCAGUGCAGGGAGAGUGAGGCCAGAAAGGCUGAGACAACUCAGGGAAAGAAAACCUCCCUUCUGGCUAAUAGUCAAGCACCGCCUGAGUAGACCAACACUCUCCUGUCCACAGGGGCAGCAGAUGAAGACACAACCAGAGAGGACUAACAGGCCCCCUCAGCUCUCAGUCAGAGGGCAGAGCAACACAGAAUAGACAUUAAAGGAACAGACUUUGAGGCCAGGCAGCCUUGGGUGUGCAUCUGUCCCUACUAAGCCAUGUGACAUUAAACAAGUGAGUCCACCUCUCUGAGCCUCAGGUUCCUCAUCUGUAAAAUGGGGAUUAUAAGAGUUCUUGUUUCUCAGGGACAAUGUGAGGAUUAAGUGAGAUGAUACACAUAGAGAAUGUGGUGCAGUACUGGGCACAUGGCAAAGAUCAGUGAUGCUAGCUACCACUUAUCAUUAGUGUUCCUGUAGACCAGGACUUCUCAACCUUGGCACUAUUCACCUUUUGGGCCAGAAAGUUUUUUUUGUUGUUGUUGUGGGGAGCUGUCCUAUGCAUUUGAGGAUGUUUAACAGCACCCCUGGCCUCUACCCACUAGAUGCCAAUCACACCACACCCCCAGUUUCAACAACCAAAAAUGUCUGCAGAUGGUGCCGAAUGUCUUCUGGAGGGUGAAAUCACUCCCCAGCAGUUGAAAAGCACCACCCUAAACAAUCUGGACUGAAUUUGAAUGUCACAGAUCCCAAGCUCACAGCUCCAUGUAAAGGCCACAAGGCAGGCAGGCCUACUUGCAGAUGAAGGAACGGAAAGAGCAACAAUUACAGAUCAAGCGGCUAGCUCCGGUGUAGACUAAGAGGCGGGAUCUGUAGUCUGCUCUAGGAGCUAACAAGGCCUCUGUGACUCAGUAGGUGACCUCAGUGUCACUCUUUAAUUAUAUGCAAAGUGGUCUUGUGUUAACUCUUAAUUAUUCUAGGGCUCCAAACAAGAAAAUAGGUAGUUGGUAUCUGAUUUCUGGCAUCAAGAUCCUGAUUCAUUGACUGGGAGAAAAUCUGACUCUCCAAAACUCUUUCAGAGUUCAUUUAGCCCUUCAUUUAUGACUCUGGGGAGAUUUCUGAGCGAGAGCUAGGUGUCAGGCCCUGUUCCAGGUGCUGGAGAUGCACAAGAGAACAAAAUAGGCAAAGUUUCCUUUUUAUGGAACUUAUAGCAGGAGAAUAAAGAUAAAAACAAGCAAAAAUAUUUAUCUCUGAUAAGGGCAAUGGAUAAAAAUAAAGUAGAAUAGGCCAGGCACGGUGGCUUACGCCUGUAAUCCUAGCACUUUGGGAGGCCAAGGCGGGCAGAUUGCCUGAGCUCAGGAGUUCGGGACCAGCCUGGGCAACACGGUGAAACCCCGUCUCUACUAAAAUACAAAAAAUUAGCUGGGCGUGGCAGCGUGCACCUGUAGUCCCAGCUACUUGGGAGGCUGAGGCAGGAGAAUUGCUUGAACCUGGGAGGCAGAGGUUGCAGUGAGCUGAGAUCGCGCCACUGCACUCCAGUCUGGGUGACAGAGAGAGACUCCACCUCAAAAAAAUUUAAAAAAGUAGACUAAGAGAACCAAGCAUCGCUGGGUGAGGGGUCUUGUUUUAAAGAGUUUUCUAGGAAGACCUCUCUGAGAAGGCACCAUUUGAGCCAAGACUUGAUGACCUGGCUACUGCAUGAGGAUGGAAGGUGGGGAAGCUGAUGGGAGCAGCGAGAGAGGUGGGAGCAGUUAGAGGCUAUUGCAGCAGUCCAGGUAAGAAGGAAUGGUGGCUUGGACAAGGAGGUGGUAGCAGAGAUAGGGCAGAGAUGGCCAGAUUCCAGAUGUAUUCUGAAGGUAGAGCUGACAGAUUUGCUGAGCAAUUGGAUGCAGAAUAGGAGGGAACCAGAGGCAGUCAAGGAUGACUCCAGACUUGUGAGCUGAACAAUGAGAAGAAUAGAUUGAGAUGGGGAAGUCUGGCAGAGGAAACAAGAAGUUCUGCUUUGGCCAUGUUAAGUUUGAGAUGCCUAUUAGAUAUUCCAAGUGGAGAUGUCAAAUAUGCAGUUGGAUAUAUGAGUUCUGGGAAGAGGGCCAGCCUUGAGCUAUAAUUUGGAGAGUCAUCAGCUUAUAGGUGACAUUUAAAGCAAUGGGACUGGAUGAGAUCACCACUGAGGGCGGAGUACGUGUAGAUGGAAGUAAUGCUUAUUCAGCUAGCAAUAUUCUCUGAGCGUUUACUAUGGGCCAGGCCCGGAGCUAGGUGCUAGGUACAGAGAUGGACUUCCUUUGGCACCUGCCCCAGAGAAGCUCUAUUACUUACUUAAUUUUCCUGCCUAAGUGCUUUGGCCAUGUAGAGGAUGAGCCUUGAGUUCCUACCCUGUCUUUUAGUCACUUAGUCCUUUUUUUCUCUUUUUUCUUUUUUUGAGACAGAGUUUCGUUCUUGUUGCCCAGGCUGGAGUGCAAUGGCAUGAUCUUGGCUCACCACAACCUCCGCCUCCUGGGUUCAAGCAAUCCUCCUGUCUCAGCCUCCUCAGUAGGUGGGAUUACCGGCAUGCACCACCACAUCGGGCUAAUUUUUUGUAUUUUUAGUUGACAUGGGGUUUCUCCAUGUUGGUCAGGCUGGCCUUGAACUCCCGACCUCAGGUGAUCCACCCGCCUCGGCCUCCCAAAGUGCUGGGAUUACCUGCGUGAACCACCGCACCCUGCAUCAUUUUUUCAGCAGACAUUUGUUGAGCACCUGCUUGAUACAAGGCACCCAUCUAGGCACAAGGGACAUGAAAGGAAGCGAGUCAGACACAGUUCCUAUCCUUUUGGAGUUUAGAUUUUAUGUGUGGAGACAGACAUUGAACAGGAUGCACACAGGAUCACAGGAUGUGACAAAUGCAGUGGAGGAGAAAGAUAGGCUGGUGUGAGAGCUGUUAAUGGGGGCUCUGCUCUAGCCGGAGAGGCAAGGAAGGCUUUUCCAGGAGUCACAUUAGAGGAACAAUCUAUACAAGCAGGGAACUAGGCUGGGGGAAGUGCAGGGAGCUUUUUAGGUGGAAAGAACAGCAUGUUCAAAGGCCUGAAGCUGGAAGGAGGCUGGCUGACUUGGCUCCAGAGAAGCUGUUGGGGGAGUGUGGGAGAGACAAGACAGGGAGUAGGGGUGGGGAGAAGCCAGACCUUUGGAGUCUUGUAAGUCUGGUUAAGACACGUGGACUGUCUUCUGCGGCCACCAGUGGCUCUGUUGAGGUGGGAAAUUAAAGAAAAGCAAAAUUAAAAAGAAAGAGAAAUAAGUUUUUCUGUAUGAGGGUGACUUGUCCCAGAGGCAGCAAUAGGCACAGGCCAGACCCAGGAAAAUUCUUCAUAAUAUUAUCUAAUGUGCUCUGGAGAUUCUCCCAGUACUCCCUCAACAUAGGGAGAAGAAAAACAAAUUUUCCUUUGUUUUAUGGAAUGAGUUUAUAGAUUCCUAUUCUCUGUAACCAGUGACUUCAAGUAUUGUUUUAUCUAAGCAGUGGAGUGAAGGUCAUGAGCCUCUGAGCUGGCCUGAGUUACGGCCACCUGGGCGCCAUAGUGAAGGUUAUGGGAUAAGUCUGUGCCUGGGCAAACCUAGAUAACGGACAUCUGGGUUGCUUGGCAACGGUCACGUGCAAUCCUGAGUUUGUCCUGCCUCUAUAUCCCUGCUUUCAUGCCACUGUAAGCUUGCUUCAAGCUAGCCCACCCCCUUUUGUGAAGUGUGUAUAGAAGUCAAGUGCUGUCUUUCUUCCGGGCCCAGUCUUUUGGACGUUGAGUCAGCUGGGCCUGAGUGCACUCAAUAAAUGAUUCUCCUGUUUUAGAUUGAGACCAUCCUGACUAACACGGUGAAACCCCGUCUCUACUAAAAAUACAAAAACAAAAUUAGCCGGGUGUGGUGGUGGGCGCCUGUAGUCCCAGCUACUCGGGAGGCUGAGGCAGGAGAAUGGUGUGAACCCAGUAAAUACUGCACAUGUGUAAUGAGCCGAGAUCGCGCCACUGCACUCCAGCCUGGGCAACAGAGCAAGAGUCCGUCUCAAAAAAAAAAAAAAAAAAAAAAAAAAAAAAAAAAAAAAGGCCGGGCACGGUGGCUUACGCCUGUAAUCCCAGCACUUUCAGAGGCUGAGGCGGGUGGAUCACGAGGUCAGAGAUCGAGACCAUCCUGGCUAACACAGUGAAACCCUGUCUCUACUAAAAAUACAAAAAAUUAGCCGGGUGUGGUGGCGGGCGCCUGUAGUCCCAGCUACUAGGGAGGCUGAAGCAGGACAAUGGUGUGAACCUGGGAGGCAGAGCUUGCAGUGAGCCGAGAUGGCGCCAUUGCACUCCAGCCUGGGCGACAGAGCGAGACUGCAUCUCAAAAAAAAAAAAAAAAAAGAUUCUCCUGUUUUAACCCGAGGUCUCUCUCUCAUCCUCCUGAAUCCCACAACACUGAAAGGUAGUGGGUAGGGAUUCAUAUGAUCAGAGGGCCACUGAAGUGGGCAGGUUAGUAGGGCAGCCAGGACACCAGUGAGGAGGUUAUUGAUUGUUGCCUCUUUGCUUCAGGCUCUUGGUUUCUCCAUUUUAAACAUCUGUUUGCACUCCAGGUGCAGUGUCUCAUGCCUAUAAUCCUAGCGCUUUGGGAGGCUAAGGCAGGAGGAUGCCUUACCCAGGAGAUGGAGACCAGCCUGGGCAAUAUAGCAAGACCCCAUCUCUACCAAAAAUAAAAAUAAAAAAUUAGCUAGUAUAGUGGGGUGUGCCGGUAGUUCCAGCUACUCAGGAGGCUACAGCGGGGAGGAUUGCUUGAGCCCAAGAGUUCAAGGCUGCAGUGAGCUAUGAUUGCACCACUGCACUCCAGCCUGGGCAACAGAGCGAGACCCUGACUCAAAAACAAAAACAGAAACAUCUGUUUGCAAAGCCCUGGUUCUCUCAGGGGACAGAGAGGGGAAUGCAAAGAAGUUGUUUUUCUCUCUCGGUAAGAGCAGAACCCUUGGUACCCCCAAACUUAUCAUCUUAGGAUCACAAAGCCAGAGCUUAAGGCUGUACAUAAUAAUCUGUUUCUUCCAGGAGCCACUUCCCCCAAGAAACUCCAAAGGUAUUAUUUCAUUAGCAGGGUGCCAGGUGGUUUUGGCCAGGGCCUCUGCAACUCUUUUCUCUGUGACCAUUUUCCAUUUCGGCUCAUAUAAAUCAACCUUUACUACAAAGCUAUAAAGUAAAAUAAUGUAAUGAGUGCAGCCAACUGCAGCUGUUCUCAAACUCAAUGUCACAGCCAUUACACAUGUGAAAUAUUUACAGGGGUUUUAAUCAAUUUUCUUUCCUGACACCCGUUUUUUAUUAAAAAUUACAAAAAUAAUAAAUGCACAUGGUAGUAGAUACAGAAGAACACAAGGAAUGAAUUAUAAAUGUUAACUGUACAGAGAUAACCAUUGUCAAUAUUUUGUCUUAAAUACAUCCAGUCUACAGAUAAGAACAUAUUCAUAUCAUAUAAUACCUAUCACACUGUAUGUAUCUUUUUUUUUUUUUUUUUUUUUUUAGACAGGGACUUACUCUGUCAAAUAGGCUAGGGUGUAGUGGUGCGAUCGUACCUCACUACAGCCUCAAACUCCCAGGCUCAAGGGAUCCGACUGCCCCUCCCUCCCAAGUAGCUGGGAUCACAGGUGCACACCACCACACCUGGCUAAUUUUUUUGAUUUUUAAUAAAAAUGAGGUAUCACUAUGUUGCCCAGGCUGGUCUCAAACUCCUGGGCUCAAGCAAUCCUCCCACCUUGGCCUCCAAAAGUGCUGGUAUUAUAGGCAUGAGCCACUGAACCUGGCCAAUGUAUCAUUUUUGUUACCUGCUUUUCGUAAUCCCAGCACUUUGGGAGGCCGAGGCAGGUGGAUCACGAGGUCGGGAGUUCAAGACCAGCCUGGCCAAGAUGUUAAAACCCUGUCUCUACUAAAAAUACAAAAAUUGGCUGGGUGUGGUGGUGGGCGCCUGUAAUCUCAGCUACUUGGGAGGGUGAGGCAGAGAAUUGCUUGAACCUAGGAGGUGGAGGUUGCAGUGAGCCGAGAUCGUGCCACUGCACUCCAGCCUGGGCGACAGAGCAAGACUCCAUCUCAAAAAAAAAAAAAAAAAAAAAAAGCCUUCUACAACAUAACUAUUUACUUAUGUAUUUUUAAAGAUGGGGUCCCACUCUCACCCAGGCUGGAGUACAGUGGUGCAAUCCUAGCUCACUGCAGCCUCAAACUCCUGGGCUCAAGCAGGCAUCCUGCCUUCACCUCCCAAAGUGCUGGGAUUACAAGCAUGAGCUACUGCACCCAGCCCAAUUUUAAUAGCUUCUUUAUAGCCCAUGCGGCCAGGGGCGGUGGCUCACGCCUGUAAUCCCAGCACUUUGGGAGGCCCAGGUGGUUGGAUCACUUGCGGUCAGAAGUUCGAGACCAGCCUGGCCAAUAUGGUGAAACCCCAUCUCUACUAAAAAUAUAAAAAAUUAGCCAGGUGUAGUGUUGCGUGCCUGUAGGCUACUUAGGAGGCUGAGGCAGGAGAAUCGCUUGAACCCAGGAAGCAAAGCGGAGGUUGCAGUGAUCCGAGAUUGCGCUAUUGCACUCCAGCCUGGGUGUCACAGUGAGACUCCGUCUCAAAAAAAAAAAAAAAAGUCCAUGCAUAACUUCUUGAAACAAUCACUUAUCAGUGGACACUUAAGUUGCUUCCAGUUUUUCAGUAUUGUAACAGUGCUUUGUUCUGAUGAAUAUCUUUCAAAGAUAAAAAUAAUCUUUUUAAUUCUACUUUCAGAAGUAAUAGGUACUCAUUGUAUAAAAGUGAAACACUGUAGAAAUUUAGAAUCUGAAAAAGAAAGUUCCUUUGUAAGAUCUGUAAUCUUACAACUCAAAGAUAAUGUUAAAAUUUGAUUUUUUCCCGGCAUAUAACAGGCUUUUUUCCUUUUUACCAAAAUGGGAUGAUUCUGAGUUCCCUGUCACGAUAUAUAAAUCUACUUUAUUCCUUUCAUAAACUUCCAUGCAUUUCCACCACCUGUCCCCACCCACCCACCCACAUCUGUAUACACACAUUCUGCCUCCCUUGCCGUUACCCUGUAUGAACUGUUCAUGCUCCUAUCUAAGGCCAUCUCCCUGGCACUGGGUCCAUCUCCUCUCAUUCCUGUGAUUGUCUCUUCUCCCUCUCCUGCAUCAUCAGUUUCCCCUGUCUACUGGAUUAUUCCCACCAGCGUGCAAACAUGCUGUCAUAUUCUUUUAAAAAUGCUUCCCUUGCCUACACAUUCUCCUGUAGCUACCAUCCCAUCUCGGCUUUCCUCCAAGAGUUGUCUGUACUCCCUGUCCCCGAUUCCUCACCUCCCAUUCUCUCUUUAAUCCACUGCACCCACACAGCUCAAAUGUGGUGGUCACCGGUGACCACCAUGCUGCUAAACACAGUGGCCAAUUCUCAGUGCCCUUCAUGGCCAUACAUGUCACAGUUGCUCUCUUCCUCUGGGUCCUCCCUUGGCUUCCAGGACCACACACUCUCUUAGCUGUCCUCCCAUCUCACUGGCUGCUCCACCUCAGGCUCCUCUGUUUGUUUCCCCUUUUCUCCAUGACAUCUGAAGGAAGAAGUGAACCAGGCCUUCUCUAUUGGGCUACUUCUCUAUUUAAACUCUCUCUUGGGAGUCUCCAUUUUCAUGGCUUUAAAUUUCAUGGCUCACAACUCUCAAAUUUGUAUUUUCACCCCAAACUUUGCCCCUGAAUGCCCAUCCCAUAUCUCUAAGUCCUAUUUGAAAUAGCUCUAGGAUGUCUAACAGGCAUCUGUCUCAAACCUAACACAUCCACAACAGACCUAUUCUACUCCCAAACCUGCCUGCUUAUCCUGCAGGCUUCCUUAUCACUGUAAAUAGCCACUGCAUUCUUCCAGGUGCUCAGGAGAGAGAUCUAGAAGUUUUCCUUGACUUGUGUAUAUUCCUCACACCUCACAUCUAAUUUAAGCACAUUAAUGAGCUUAAAUUCUUUAAGCUCAAUCUUGAAAAUAUAUCUCACCACCUUCGCUCUUCUUCUGACCUUUUUUUUUUUUUUUGAUACAGAGCUUCUCUCUGUCAUCCAGGCUAGAGUACAGUAGCACAAUCUCAGCUCACUGCAGCCUCCACCUCCCAAGUUCAAGCAAUUCUCCUGCCUCAGCCUCCCUUGUAGCUGGGGUUACAGGUGUGCACCACCACACCCAGAUAAUUUUUGUAUUUUUAGUAGAGACGGGGUUUCACCACAUUGGUCAGGCUGGUCUCAAACUCCUGACCUUGUGAUCCACCCGCCUCAGACUCCCAAAGUGCUGGGAUUACAGGUGUAAGCCACCGUGCCUGGCCUUUUUUUUUCUUUAAGAGAUGAGGUCUUGCUCUGUUUUCCAGGCUGGAUCCUGGGCUUGAGGGAUCCUCCUGCGUCAGCCUCUCGAGUAGCUGGGACCACAGGCACGAGCCACCGAUGCCUGGCUAAAUUUUUACUUUUUUGUAGAGAUGGAGGUCUCGCCAUCUUGCCCAGGCUGGUCUCGAACUCAUGGACUCAAGCAAUCCUCCUGCCUCAGCCUCCCAAAGCCCAUGUCUGGCCUGGGCUGUCUAUUCUGUCUCACUGCUCUAUGUGUUUAUCUUUUUGCUGAUACCACCCUACUUUGAAUACUGUAACUUUAUAGUGAGUCUUGAAGUUGGGUAAUGUGAGUAUGUGAGUCCUCUGACUAUUUUUUUUUUCAGAAUUGUUUUGGCUAAUCUAGUACCUUUGCCUUUCUCUGUAAAAAAAUUGUUUUGGCUAGGCCGGGCAUGGUGGCUCACGCCUGUAAUCCCAGCACUUUGGGAGGCCGAGGCAGGCGGAUCACAAGGUCAGGAGAUUGAAACCAUCUUGGCUAACACUGUGAAACCCCAUCUCCACUAAAAAUACAAAAAAUUAGCCGGGCACGGUGGCAGGCGCCUGUAGUCCCAGCUACCUGAGAGGCUGAGGCAGGAGAAUGGCGUGAACCCGGGAGGUGGAGCUUGCAGCGAGCCGAGAUGGCGCCACUGCACUACAGCCUGGGCGAUAGAGCGCGACUCCAUCUCAAAAAAAAAAAAAAUUGUUUUGGCAAAUCUAGUACCUUUGCCUUUCUAUGUUGCCCGGGCUGGAGUGCAUUGGCUACUCACAGGCAUGAUCAUGGUGUAUUAUAGCCUCAAACUCCUGGCCUCCAGCGAUCUUCCUGUCUCAGCUCCCAAGUAGCUCCCAAGUGUGCAACUGAGACUACAGGUGCAAAACACAGUGCCCUGGCUUCUCUGUAAAUUUUAGAAUCAGUUUGUAGACAGUGUCUGGGAGGAAAAACUUUUUAUCUACCCUCAGGUUUAGUCUUUGGGGACCUGUGAAUUAAACAGACGAAAGAUAUAUUAACAAGAGAAGGCCAAGCGUGGUGGCUUACACCCAUAAUCCCAACACUCUGGGAGGCUGAGGCGGGAGGAUCACUUGAGUCCAGGAGGUCGAGGCUGCCGUGGGCUAGCAUCAUGCCACUGCACUGCCCCAUGGGCAACAGAGCGAGACCCCUGUCUCUAAAACAAACAAAAAGAAGACAAAAUUUAAUCAUUUAUUUUAUUAACAUACAUAUGGGAGUUCACCAGAAAGACUAUCCACAUUACUAGAGAUGGAAACUUUCAGCUCCUUCCCCCAACCUCCAGGGAGGGGAGUGGGGCUAGAGACUGGGCUCCAAACACUCUUGAACAGGAGGUUCCGAAAGUCUGGAAUGAUGAACGCAUUGAUGUGCUGGGAGGGUGGUGCACCUGGAGAGGACAUGGAAGCUCUGUUCCCACCUCCUCCUGCUGUGCCCCGCCCCAUGCCUUGCCCUAUGCAUCGCUUCCAUUUGGUUGAUCCUAGUUGUAUCCUUUAUAAUAAACUGGAAAAUGUAAAUAAGGUGCUGUCCUGAGUUCUGUGAGUCACUCUAGUAAAUUAUUGAACCUGAAGGGGGUGAGUGGGAACCUCUGAAUUUGUAGUAGGCCCAACAAAAAUGUGGGUAGCUGGGGCACCUCAUUUGUGCAGGCAUCUAAAGUGGGGGCGGUCUUGUGGGACUCAGUCCUUAACUUUUGUUCAGGGUCUGUGCUAACUCUGGGUAGUUAGUGUCAGAACUGAAUAGAAUUUUCAGAGGUCCAGUUGAUCUCAGAUAAUUGAACAAUUGAUGUGGAAAAAUGACACGUAUCUGGUGCCAGAGAUAAAGACCGCACCACACAUUUGGUGUCAGAAAUAGUGUCAAAGAUAAGACAUCACAGGAAGUCACUGGUAUUAGCACAGUGUUAUACAUACAGA
rnacentral:lncRNA from 1 species